UCAGUUUAUAACUAAGCUUCACAACGACAUUCACUUCGAAUAAUAUUGAAACGUUGAUACAAUUUAACUACUACCUAUCUAUAUCAGCACUGAAAAUGAAGGCUACUUUUAUCGUCAUUCUUCUAGCAACUCUGGUUGCAAUGGCCGUACUUCCUACAGAGACAACUGCAGAUUGCACUACAGGUGAAGUAGCUGCCUGUGGUUUUAAAUGUGGUCUACAAAGUUGUAAAUCUUCCAAGUGUAACUCUAGCUCUGAUUGCUCUUGCAGCGGUUGCCCAUAACUGCAGAGGUCUAAUUUCAUUGAAUGAGAGCGGUUUGUCAGAGUCAAUUUUUUUUUUAAAUAAUAUUG